rnacentral:lncRNA from 1 species
UUAGGCUGUUGAUGCACAUCUGUCAGUUUUUAUCACUAAGUUCUUUUUUGUCCUUCACCAUAUUCUGAGAUGCUAGAAGUUGGCUGAUUUUAUCAUGGAGCUCAUCCCUGUCUUUUGUCAGUUAAUCCAUAGAUAAAUUGCAUAACCAACCAGCAUUAUCAUUUUCCUUACUUCCCCCAAACUGUCAUCGUUUUAUAUAUAGGGUCACUAAAUCUAUUACUACUCGCAGUUCCUUAAUCAAUAUAGUCAAAUGCAUUAACUCCAUAGGUUUGUAAUAUAGUUCAUGCCAUGAGCUUUUAGUCUGCCACCUCCUGGAAGACAGGGAGCUGCAGAGGCUUUGAUCAUUGUAGCUGCUGAUUCAUUGAAAAGCCAGUUACAGAUACUUAUAAGAUUCAUCCAUACACUUCUGUUGUUCUAGAACUACUUCUGCUACCAAAAUUUGCAUUAGUCAGGGCAAAAGGCAGCAAACGCUCUGUCUUCCAAGUCCUUAUGUAGGCUUCCGGGCAGAGGGUGUGGCCCAAGUUGAAGGUUGUGUGUUUAUGCUGCAAGAUUCAGAUCAAAGUCAGGUGCCCUUCCACCUCCUAGGUCUAGACUAGAGCUGGGUCCACCCAUUUUAAACCAAGCAGAAAAUCCCUCACAAAUUUGCUCUCCGUUUCUGGAUUCAACUUGAUUACAUUUGGUAUUACCUGGAAUGAAAAUCAUAGACCAUCUCUUUGAAGUGUUAGGCUUAAAACUAGACACUGUGGCAGCCUCUGCUGUUUUACUUCAUUGGCUCUGCUGUUAUAUUUUAAGGUCAUCUUUCUUCCAGAGUGAUGGUAACAAUGAAAGAGUUUAUAGUCAUUAUCAUUGACCUUUAAUUUACUUUUUAAGUAGGUUUUUUUUUUCUUCUGCCUAUUCAGUAUUUAUAGCAACACCCAUUUGGGUCAUUUUGAUAUUAAAACCUUGAAAAAUAGAAUUGAAAUCCAUUCUUAAAUCCAUUUUGUUUAAUGUGAUAUAUUUUAUUGACACUCUUCUUUGAAAUCUGAAAGGUUUUUGGUCUUAUUUUGAGCAACAUGUCUAGCUUUUGGAAGUCUGAGUUUAUGUGGAACAUACAGUUAUCAGAUAACCUUCAUGGAAUCACUUGAUAAAUGGGAAUAAAACAUAGAACCAUUAGUGUUAUAUUAUUAGGAAAACUCUCUAGAUAGAUGAAGUAUAUAGACUAAAUUAUUUGGAGAAAAGAAUACAUAUUAGUGUCCUGCCAAAAUUCUGGAAGCCUUCUGUGUUUGUUUGUCUGUUUUAUUUUUUUAUUUUUUUCGAGACAGGGUUUCUCUGUGUAGCCUUGGCUGCCCUGGAACUCACUUUGUAGACCAGGCUGGCCUCGAACUCAGAAAUCCACCUGCCUCUGCCUCCCAAGUGCUGGGAUUAAAGGGGUGCGCCACCACGCCCUGCUGAAAGCCUUCUGUUAAAAAGGCUGCCAAAGUGGUCGAAAUACUUUGGGUUUGUUAUUGUUACUUGUUUUUGGUUUUAGACAGGGACAUGCUAAUUAGCUUUUUAGUCUUAGAUGAAAGUAAAAGAAAAAAGUAGUAUAGUAAGAGACUUCAAGAUGAUGAUUGCUCCUACAUAGUGCUGUCUUUCCAAACUAUAGCUGAGUUUGCUUGUAGGAGUGCUGACAGUUACUUCUCAAAGAAACAGUGAAUAUUCAAACUAUUAUCCAGAGGAUUAAGAAAAAUGAGCCUCUACUUCAAGUGAUAUUGAAGGAACACAUCCCUAUAGCUUGAGUUCUUAUAAAAAAAAGAUCAUCUUUGUUCCCUUCUACCACCUUCACUGGGUAAAUUUUAGAAGUAAAUCCAGGAAAAUUAGAUUAUAAACGAGUGCUUAGUGUGCUUCUUACUUGCUUUGGGAAAAGUGCAGAGCCUUUGAAGCGUUUGCUCUAGGAACCUAAUGUCCGAUUGAAGAUGGCUACAGACAGAUAACCAGACCUCGGGACAGUCAUGAAUGUAAGAAGCUGGGCAUUGUGGUACAUGCCAUUAAUCCCAGCCCUCUGAGGGUAGAGGCAGGAGGAUCAUUCCAAUCAUCUCUGCUAUGUGGGGAGUUCAAGGCCAACCUAGGCUCUAUGGUCAGACAGUACUUAUAAGCCGAAUGAAGAAACUUACC